CAGUCGCCGCGGGAAUACGGGGGGGGCAAGUGUUAUUCGGAAUGACUGGGCGUAAAGGGCACGUAGGCGGCUUCUUAAGUCGGAUGUGAAAUCCCUGAGCUUAACUUAGGAAUUGCAUUCGAUACUGGGAAGCUAGAGUAUGGGAGAGGAUGGUAGAAUUCCAGGUGUAGCGGUGAAAUGCGUAGAGAUCUGGAGGAAUACCGAUGGCGAAGGCAGCCAUCUGGCCUAAUACUGACGCUGAGGUACGAAAGCAUGGGGAGCAAACAGGAUUAGAUACCCGCGUAGUCCCUGUCUCUUAUAC
rnacentral:rRNA from 1 species